AAAAAAUGUGGCUUUGAUUGCAUCUUCUUUUUCUGUUGGAAAGUCCAAAAAGAGAAGGGCAACAAGAAUAAGAAACCUCAAAUUCCUGAAUCUUCCAAGAAGAUAGCCAAACAGAAGGGCAAGACCGAAGCUGACAGAGGCAAGGGAAAGUGUUUUCAUUAUCAGAAGGAUGGGCACUGGAAGAGGAACUGCCCAGAGUAUAGCAAUAUAAAUGAAUGUAAU
rnacentral:misc_RNA from 1 species